GGCGAACGGGUGAGUAACACGUGGGUGACCUACCCUCGAGUGGGGGAUAACGUUCCGAAAGGGACGCUAAUACCGCAUGAUAUUCCUGGCUUGAACGCCGGGCAAUCAAAGCCGGGGACCGCAAGGCCUGGCGCUCGGGGAGGGGCCCGCGCCUGAUUAGCUAGUUGGCGGGGUAACGGCCCACCAAGGCGACGAUCAGUAGCCGGCCUGAGAGGGCGGACGGCACACUGGGACUGCGACACGGCCAGACUCCUACGGGAGGCAGCAGUGGGGAAUUGUUCGCAAUGGGCGCAAGCCUGACGACGCAACGCCGCGUGGAGGAUGACGGUCUUCGGAUUGUAAACUCCUGUUGAUCGGGACGAAUAGCGUCGGCCGAAUACGCUGACGAAUGACGGUACCGGUUGAGGAAGCCACGACUAACUCUGUGCCAGCCGCCGCGG
rnacentral:rRNA from 1 species